rnacentral:rRNA from 1 species
CCCUUGGGCAAGUCUGGUGCCAGCAGCCGCGGUAAUUCCACCUCCCACAGCGUAUAUUAAAGUUGUUGUGGUUAAAAAGCUCGCAUUUGAACCUUGGGCCUGGCUGGCCGGUCCGCCUCACCCCUUGUACUGGUCCGGCCGGGCCUUUCCCUCUGGGGAACCCCAUGCCCUUCACUGGGCGUGGCGGGGAAACAGGACUUUUACUUUGAAAAAAUUACAGUGCUCCAGGCAGGCCUAUGCUCGAACACCUAAACAUGGAAUAACAAAAUAGGACGUGUGGUCCUAUUUUGUUGGUUUCUAGGACCGCCGUAUUGAUUAACAUGGACAGUCCGGGGCCUUUCUAUCCCCUUGCCAGAGUCGAAAUUCCUGCAUUUAUUGAAGACUAACUACCGCCAAAGCAGUUGCCACGCUGGUUUUCUUUCUUCACGAGGAAAGUUAGGGGAUCGAACUCGAUCAACUACUGUCAAAGCCUUA